rnacentral:RNase_P_RNA from 1 species
GUGGUAGGACAAGCAAUCGCUUUAAACAUUAAAGAGGAAAGUCCGGACUCCAUAGAGUAUGAUGCCUCUUAACGAGAGGGAAAAGAAAUUUUACGGAAAGUGCCGCAGAAACUAAACCGCCUAAUUUAAUUAGGUAAGGGUGAAAAAGUGAGGUAAGAGCUCACUAGGGUCGUUAGUAAUAAAGAUCUUGGGUAAACCCCAUCAGGAGCAAGAUUAAAUAGGAAAAGAGAAGCUACUCGCUUCGUUAUUAUUUUCGGGUAAAUCGCUUGAGAUUAGUUGUGAAACUAAUCCUAGAUAAAUGAUUGCUAAUACAGAAUCCGGCUUAUUAUCCUACCACAUGU